AUUGAAGGCAAUGGAAACUGAUGGGUGCUGAAGAUAAAAGAGCAGUGUUGACCUUUUGGUAAAUCAUUCAUCAUACUGCUUCAUCUUCACUUGCAGUGUCGACCAAUAUCCAGAUAUUACCUACACUCGCCUAUCUGCUUGAACCAGAGAUUCCUGCACUGGGUUGUGUGGACGCUCAUUUUUUUAAACGCCUGUCUCCUUUGCCUGGCAAGGUAAAAAAGACACAUAAAAACUCAUUUGAUGUCUCUAGAUUUUUUAAUAGGUUUAAGCAACUUUCUUAUUUGCCAUUUGAAUAUGAAAGACUUCAAAUAUCAAAAAUUUAAUAUAUACCUUGAAAAGAAGCUUAUGUGUGUCAUUGACUGCCUAGUUGAUAAAAUGACUUUGGUUAUGGAGAAUACUCACAGUGUAUGAAUGAAAACUCCUGAUUUGGGUGUUAUUUGGGCCAAGCUAGAAGAGAAGUCACAUUCUGAAUUAUUUUUUUCUCUGGUGGGAGAUCAAUACUGUCUAGACAUGGUCUCAUUAUGACUUUGCAUUGACUAGGGCAGACUCGGUCAACAGUGGGGCUGAGAUUCCUGUAAUCCAAGCUGCUGGUGGGAAAUUUGUGUUGCCCCUUAUUACAGAGACCUUCAGAUUCACUGGUGUCAACUCUGUGUAUCCCAGCAUCAUCCCGCUCAACUGUAGGGUUAUCCUAGAGGAUAGCAUAUGCCAACUCCUGACUUUUUAGAAAGACUCUGAAUCCUUGAAGUCUUGGGAGCUGCUCUCUAGGAUUUCCUAGCAUGCUUGGUGACAGUUGCAUAGGGCAUGAGAGGAACCUUGGAGCUUUUGAAUUCUCUGUGGUUUCUAAAACUUUUAAAACCAGAGAUAGUAAUACCACUCAUAUGUAAAGGCCUUGGUCCACUUCUGCAAGCCCAGCUAUAUUCCCUGUCAUACAGAUGCCUCCACAUUAAUUUCUGCAAAUAAUAUCUUCAUGUAUGGAAAUGUCACCAGUUUUAUAUUCAGAUUAACUCUCAUUUAUGAGAAAUUUUCAUCUAUUUGAAUAUAUUUUUAAAUUGGGAAGUUUAUGACUCCUCUCUUAGGAUCAGAACUUAAAAAUCAUGUCUUUUCUCUGUUAGAUAUUCAGACUCCUGGCCGUGCUGCUCUGCAUGGAAUCUUAAAUCCUUCAUUUGUGGUUAUUUGUUGGCAUUUUGCAAGAGAGUGAAGCAAUGUCUGAGCCAGUAGAGGCCAGAGGUGGCCCAGCCUGACUGGGUUUUCAAUAGUGCAAUAAAUGUUAUUUGUCUAGCAUCUUUACUUUUAAACUUUGGGAAGGAUUAUCAUAGACAUUGAGAAAUAAUGCUGAUUAUACAAAGGAUUGCUCAUGAUAAAAGAUCUCUUUCUGGAAAUUUAAGUGUUCUAGUAGAUUAGCAUUAUUGAUCAUUCUCUUUCCACAUAGUCUACAGAUGAUCUUAGAAUCCUGAAACUAUUAUUCUUCCUUGUCUAGUGUAAUUAUCAGAACAAGGAAUAAUCUAAUUAAAAGACAACAAGGAUGUGUUCUAAUUGUUCUAAUAAAUUAUGUUAAUACUCAGUGCAUUUAGUAACUUUUCAACAGGAAUUUAUUUAAUGGGUUGACAGCUUGUCCUUUACCGCCACAAUCUUAACUUUCAUUUCUUCUAAACAAGACCAGUUACAGUAGGAUAGUUAACUGUCCAAAAAUCUGUUGGGUCAUUAGGAGAAUCUAAGGUUCCAUAUAGUAUGUAUGGAUGAAAAAAUGGGUUUGGAGUUUCCUAGAUAAAAUAAUGACCCAACACAGAAGAGGGUAGAGUAAUGACCAGUAGAGUUUAAAGUAAAAAUCUGCAACUGACAGUUUCAAUGAAGAC